GCAGAGUAGACGAGCGAGCGUUAAGUGUCGGUAAGGAUGGGAAGUUGCCUCCGUACGAAAGGCUGCGCCUGCGGUUCGCCGUCGCAUCCGCUGC
rnacentral:ncRNA from 1 species